rnacentral:rRNA from 4 species
UUAAGCGACUAAGCGUACACGGUGGAUGCCCUGGCAGUCAGAGGCGAUGAAGGGCGUGCUAAUCUGCGAUAAGCGCCGGUAAGGUGAUAUGAACCGUUAUAACCGGCGAUACCCGAAUGGGGAAACCCAGUGUGAUUCGUCACACUAUCAUUAACUGAAUCCAUAGGUUAAUGAGGCGAACCGGGGGAACUGAAACAUCUAAGUACCCCGAGGAAAAGAAAUCAACCGAGAUUCCCCCAGUAGCGGCGAGCGAACGGGGAGGAGCCCAGAGCCUGAAUCAGCAUGUGUGUUAGUGGAAGCGUCUGGAAAGGUGCGCGAUACAGGGUGACAGCCCCGUACACAAAAGCGCAUGUGCUGUGAGCUCGAUGAGUAGGGCGGGACACGUGGUAUCCUGUCUGAAUAUGGGGGGACCAUCCUCCAAGGCUAAAUACUCCUGACUGACCGAUAGUGAACCAGUACCGUGAGGGAAAGGCGAAAAGAACCCCGGCGAGGGGAGUGAAAAAGAACCUGAAACCGUGUACGUACAAGCAGUGGGAGCACAGGUUUACCUGUGUGACUGCGUACCUUUUGUAUAAUGGGUCAGCGACUUAUAUUCUGUAGCAAGGUUAACCGUAUAGGGGAGCCGUAGGGAAACCGAGUCUUAACCGGGCGUUAAGUUGCAGGGUAUAGACCCGAAACCCGGUGAUCUAGCCAUGGGCAGGUUGAAGGUUGGGUAACACUAACUGGAGGACCGAACCGACUAAUGUUGAAAAAUUAGCGGAUGACCUGUGGCUGGGGGUGAAAGGCCAAUCAAACCGGGAGAUAGCUGGUUCUCCCCGAAAGCUAUUUAGGUAGCGCCUCGUGAAUUCAUCUCCGGGGGUAGAGCACUGUUUCGGCUAGGGGGCCAUCCCGGCUUACCAACCCGAUGCAAACUGCGAAUACCGGAGAAUGUUAUCACGGGAGACACACGGCGGGUGCUAACGUCCGUCGUGAAGAGGGAAACAACCCAGACCGCCAGCUAAGGUCCCAAAGUCAUGGUUAAGUGGGAAACGAUGUGGGAAGGCCCAGACAGCCAGGAUGUUGGCUUAGAAGCAGCCAUCAUUUAAAGAAAGCGUAAUAGCUCACUGGUCGAGUCGGCCUGCGCGGAAGAUGUAACGGGGCUAAACCAUGCACCGAAGCUGCGGCAGCGAACGUAUCACCCAAGACAACUUUACGGAGUUGACGAUUGACGGAGCGAAGCGACGUCAAAGCGUUCAUUAAAGUCGAGUUGGCUUAGGGAUACGUUCGUUGGGUAGGGGAGCGUUCUGUAAGCCUGUGAAGGUGUGUCGUGAGGCAUGCUGGAGGUAUCAGAAGUGCGAAUGCUGACAUAAGUAACGAUAAAGCGGGUGAAAAGCCCGCUCGCCGGAAGACCAAGGGUUCCUGUCCAACGUUAAUCGGGGCAGGGUGAGUCGACCCCUAAGGCGAGGCCGAAAGGCGUAGUCGAUGGGAAACGGGUUAAUAUUCCCGUACUUGGUGUUACUGCGAAGGGGGGACGGAGAAGGCUAUGUUGGCCGGGCGACGGUUGUCCCGGUUUAAGCGUGUAGGUGUGUGUUCCAGGUAAAUCCGGUUCACUUUAACACUGAGGCGUGACGACGAGGCACUACGGUGCUGAAGCAACAAAUGCCCUGCUUCCAGGAAAAGCCUCUAAGCAUCAGGUAACACGAAAUCGUACCCCAAACCGACACAGGUGGUCAGGUAGAGAAUACCAAGGCGCUUGAGAGAACUCGGGUGAAGGAACUAGGCAAAAUGGUGCCGUAACUUCGGGAGAAGGCACGCUGACACGUAGGUGAAGUGAUUUACUCAUGGAGCUGAAGUCAGUCGAAGAUACCAGCUGGCUGCAACUGUUUAUUAAAAACACAGCACUGUGCAAACACGAAAGUGGACGUAUACGGUGUGACGCCUGCCCGGUGCCGGAAGGUUAAUUGAUGGGGUCAGCGCAAGCGAAGCUCCUGAUCGAAGCCCCGGUAAACGGCGGCCGUAACUAUAACGGUCCUAAGGUAGCGAAAUUCCUUGUCGGGUAAGUUCCGACCUGCACGAAUGGCGUAAUGAUGGCCAGGCUGUCUCCACCCGAGACUCAGUGAAAUUGAACUCGCUGUGAAGAUGCAGUGUACCCGCGGCAAGACGGAAAGACCCCGUGAACCUUUACUAUAGCUUGACACUGAACAUUGAGCCUUGAUGUGUAGGAUAGGUGGGAGGCUUUGAAGUGUGGACGCCAGUCUGCAUGGAGCCGACCUUGAAAUACCACCCUUUAAUGUUUGAUGUUCUAACGUGGACCCGUAAUCCGGGUUGCGGACAGUGUCUGGUGGGUAGUUUGACUGGGGCGGUCUCCUCCUAAAGAGUAACGGAGGAGCACGAAGGUUGGCUAAUCCUGGUCGGACAUCAGGAGGUUAGUGCAAUGGCAUAAGCCAGCUUGACUGCGAGCGUGACGGCGCGAGCAGGUGCGAAAGCAGGUCAUAGUGAUCCGGUGGUUCUGAAUGGAAGGGCCAUCGCUCAACGGAUAAAAGGUACUCCGGGGAUAACAGGCUGAUACCGCCCAAGAGUUCAUAUCGACGGCGGUGUUUGGCACCUCGAUGUCGGCUCAUCACAUCCUGGGGCUGAAGUAGGUCCCAAGGGUAUGGCUGUUCGCCAUUUAAAGUGGUACGCGAGCUGGGUUUAGAACGUCGUGAGACAGUUCGGUCCCUAUCUGCCGUGGGCGCUGGAGAACUGAGGGGGGCUGCUCCUAGUACGAGAGGACCGGAGUGGACGCAUCACUGGUGUUCGGGUUGUCAUGCCAAUGGCACUGCCCGGUAGCUAAAUGCGGAAGAGAUAAGUGCUGAAAGCAUCUAAGCACGAAACUUGCCCCGAGAUGAGUUCUCCCUGAGACUUAGAGUCUCCUGAAGGAACGUUGAAGACGACGACGUUGAUAGGCCGGGUGUGUAAGCGCAGCGAUGCGUUGAGCUAACCGGUACUAAUGAACCGUGAGGCUUAACCUU